rnacentral:tRNA from 1 species
GCUCGAUUAGCUCAGCGGAAGAGCAGCUCCCUUACAAGGAGACGGUCGUAGGUUCAAUCCCUUCAUCGAGCACCA